rnacentral:rRNA from 1 species
AAGGCCCAGACAGCCAGGAUGUUGGCUUAGAAGCAGCCAUCAUUUAAAGAAAGCGUAAUAGCUCACUGGUCGAGUCGGCCUGCGCGGAAGAUGUAACGGGGCUAAACCAUGCACCGAAGCUGCGGCAGCGACACUAUGUGUUGUUGGGUAGGGGAGCGUUCUGUAAGCCGUUGAAGGUGGCCUGUGAGGGUUGCUGGAGGUAUCAGAAGUGCGAAUGCUGACAUAAGUAACGAUAAUGCGGGUGAAAAACCCGCACGCCGGAAGACCAAGGGUUCCUGUCCAACGUUAAUCGGGGCAGGGUGAGUCGACCCCUAAGGCGAGGCCGAAAGGCGUAGUCGAUGGGAAACAGGUUAAUAUUCCUGUACUUGGUGUUACUGCGAAGGGGGGACGGAGAAGGCUAUGUUGGCCGGGCGACGGUUGUCCCGGUUUAAGCAUGUAGGCGGAUG